rnacentral:lncRNA from 1 species
UUUUUUUAAGGCUACAGGUUUAUGGAAAAACCCAACAGUCCUUUACCCAUUUUCCAGAGACAACCACUUUCAACAAUCUUAACCAUUUUUCCUCUUGUUUAUCUCCAUAUUUCCAAAUGAUGCACACACACUGCCAUGUCAUAGUUCAUCAAUUGUAGGCAUCAUGUUGACUUCCCAUAUUCUAAUUAUAUUUCCUUUUUUGUGUAACUUUUGCUUUCCUGAAAUUAUCAAUUGUCAUAGUUUCAUUUGCAUAGUUUUCUAAGUGCCUAUCUCUAUUUCAGUACUUUUUCCAAAUGCUUCAGAAGACCUGUCACAUGACUAUCAAGUUUUUCUUUUUUCUUUUUGGUAAGAGGGUUUGAAUACAGGGGCACUUAGCCACAGAGCCACAUCCCCAGUCCCACUCCCACUUUUUUAUUUUUUAUUUUGAGACUAUGUUGCUCAGGGUCUUGAUAAGUUGCUAAGGCUGGCUUUGAAUUUAGAAUCCUCCUGCCUCAGCCUCCCAGAUUGUUGGAAUUACAGGCAUAUACCACCACAUUCUGCGUCAAUAGUUUUUCAAUAUACUCAAAUGCAGUUUGAACCCUUUGUUGGUUUCAUUUGCAUUUUGGAAUCUAAAGGUAUCCAUCCUGCAGUCCCCACUCCUGCUUCAGUUUGGACUACUUGUGACUGCCUGGGGCCUGUGCACACCUGAGUCCUACUGGCCUGUUCUCAUUGCUGCCCCCAAUUGGAUCUCCUGUUUUCAAAUUCCACAGCUUACUCUUUCAUGUUGUACAUCCCAUUUUGCUAAAAUACAUCCUCCAGGUGUGUUCUAAGAUUGAGUCCUUAGAAAAUGAAAUAUCUGAGCACUUGUAUGUCUGAGUAUGUCUAUUCUACCCUCAUAUACAUGGUUAUUUCAGUUAAGCAUAGAAACAUUUGUGUGGGUGUGUUUGUGUGUGCACGCACUAUUGGGGAUUAAACCCAGGACCUCACACAUGCUAGGCAAGUGCUCUACCCCUGAGCUACAUCGUCAUCCCUUUUUAUUUUUUAUUUCGAAACAGGGUCUUGCUAACUUGCUGAGGCUAGCUUCCAACUUGUGAUUCUCCUGUCUCAGUCUCCUGAGUUACAAGCAUGUGCCACUGUGCCCAG